rnacentral:rRNA from 1 species
GACGAAGGAUGCAAGCGUUAUCCGGAUUCAUUGGGUUUAAAGGGAGCGUAGGUGGCCUUAUAAGUCAGUGGUGAAAUCUCUGGGCUUAACCCAGAAAUUGCCAUUGAUACUGUAGGGCUUGAGUAUAGAUCCGUUGGCGGAAUAUGACAUGUAGUGGUGAAAAUACAUAGAGAUGUCAUAGAACACCGAUUGCGAAGGCAGCUAACGAAAACUAUAACUGACACUGAGGCUCGAAAAGUGUGGGGGAUCAAAACAGG